rnacentral:misc_RNA from 1 species
UACGAAAGGGGCAAGCGUUGUUCGGAUUUACUGGGCGUAAAGGGCACGCAGGCGGUCUAGCCAGUCAGGGGUGAAAGCCCGGGGCUCAACCCCGGAACUGCCUCUGAUACUGCAAGACUAGAGACUAGGAGAGGGUGGUGGAAUUCCCAGUGUAGAGGUGAAAUUCGUAGAUAUUGGGAGGAACACCAGAGGCGAAGGCGGCCACCUGGACUAGAUCUGACGCUCAGGUGCGAAAGCGUGGGGAGCAAACAGG